UGCCUGAUGGAGGGGGAUAACUACUGGAAACGGUAGCUAAUACCGCAUAACGUCGCACAACCCAAAAGGGGGACCUUCUGGCCUCUUGCCAUCUCAUGUGCCCCCAUGGGAUUUGCUCUUAGGUGGGGUAACGGCUCUCCUAUGCGACAAUCCCUAUCUGG
rnacentral:rRNA from 1 species